rnacentral:rRNA from 1 species
UACGUAGGGUGCAAGCGUUGUCCGGAAUUAUUGGGCGUAAAGAGCUCGUAGGCGGUUUGUUGCGUCGGCUGUGAAAUCCCGAGGCUCAACCUCGAGCCUGCAUUCGAUACUGGGCGGCUAGAGUCUGGUAGGGGGAUCUGGAAUUCCUGGUGUAGCGGUGGAAUGCGCAGAUAUCAGGAGGAACACCGGUGGCGAAGGCGGGAUCCUGGGCCAGUACUGACGCUGAGGAGCGAAAGCGUGGGGAGCAAACAGG